rnacentral:rRNA from 1 species
UCGAGGGGUAUUGUUCUUCGGAAUGAGAGACCGGCGCACGGGUGCGUAACGCGUAUGCAAUCUACCUUUCACAGAGGGAUAGCCCAGAGAAAUUUGGAUUAAUACCUCAUAGUAUAUGGACUUGGCAUCAAGAUCAUAUUAAAGUCACAACGGUGAAAGAUGAGCAUGCGUCCCAUUAGCUUGUUGGUAAGGUAACGGCUUACCAAGGCAACGAUGGGUAGGGGUCCUGAGAGGGAGAUCCCCCACACUGGUACUGAGACACGGACCAGACUCCUACGGGAGGCAGCAGUGAGGAAUAUUGGACAAUGGGCGCAAGCCUGAUCCAGCCAUGCCGCGUGCAGGAUGACGGUCCUAUGGAUUGUAAACUGCUUUUGCACAGGAAGAAACACUACUUCGUGAAGUAGCUUGACGGUACUGUGAGAAUAAGGAUCGGCUAACUCCGUGCCAGCAGCCGCGGUAAUACGGAGGAUCCAAGCGUUAUCCGGAAUCAUUGGGUUUAAAGGGUCCGUAGGCGGUUUGGUAAGUCAGUGGUGAAAGCCCAUCGCUCAACGGUGGAACGGCCAUUGAUACUGCCAGACUUGAAUUAUUAGGAAGUAACUAGAAUAUGUAGUGUAGCGGUGAAAUGCUUAGAGAUUACAUGGAAUACCAAUUGCGAAGGCAGGUUACUACUAAUGGAUUGACGCUGAUGGACGAAAGCGUGGGUAGCGAACAGGAUUAGAUACCCUGGUAGUCCA